GACGAACGCUGGCGGCGUGCCUAAUACAUGCAAGUUGAGCGCUGAAGGUUGGUACUUGUACCAACUGGAUGAGCAGCGAACGGGUGAGUAACGCGUGGGGAAUCUGCCUUUGAGCGGGGGACAACAUUUGGAAACGAAUGCUAAUACCGCAUAAAAACUUUAAACACAAGUUUUAAGUUUGAAAGAUGCAAUUGCAUCACUCAAAGAUGAUCCCGCGUUGUAUUAGCUAGUUGGUGAGGUAAAGGCUCACCAAGGCGAUGAUACAUAGCCGACCUGAGAGGGUGAUCGGCCACAUUGGGACUGAGACACGGCCCAAACUCCUACGGGAGGCAGCAGUAGGGAAUCUUCGGCAAUGGACGAAAGUCCGACCGAGCAACGCCGCGUGAGUGAAGAAGGUUUUCGGAUCGUAAAACUCUGCUGGUAGAGAAGAACGUUGGUGAGAGUGGAAAGCUCAUCAAGUGACGGUAACUACCCAGAAAGGGACGGCUAACUACGUG
rnacentral:rRNA from 1 species